GUGCCAGCCGCCGCGGUAAUACGUAGGGGGCGAGCGUUGUCCGGAUUCAUUGGGCGUAAAGAGCUCGUAGGCGGUUUGGCAAGUCAGGUGUGAAAUCUCCGGGCUCAACUCGGAGAGGCCACCUGAUACUGCUAUGACUAGAGUCCGGUAGGGGACCAUGGAAUUCCUGGUGUAGCGGUGAAAUGCGCAGAUAUCAGGAGGAACACCGGUGGCGAAGGCGGUGGUCUGGGCCGGUACUGACGCUGAGGAGCGAAAGCGUGGGGAGCGAACAGGAUUAGAAACCCUGGUAGUCC
rnacentral:rRNA from 1 species